GAAAUAUUUAUUUCUUAUAAAAGAUUCAGGUUUCAAGUUGUAUAAGUACUCAAGUAGAGCAUUAUAUAAAAUAUCUUGGUAUAUUUGUACUUGGUGGAUAUAAAACUUCUUGUGGAAAUUGUGUUUUCUGUUGCCCACUUGCUGCACUGUGUAAGGUAGAUCACACCAACUGGAAGGAUGCGAGAGUACAAGUUGGUUGUGCUCGGUUCUGGAGGUGUUGGGAAAAGUGCAUUGACAGUGCAAUUCGUACAAGGAAUAUUUGUUGAAAAAUAUGAUCCUACAAUAGAAGACAGCUAUAGAAAGCAAGUUGAAACAGAUAACCAGCAAUGUAUGUUAGAAAUCCUGGACACGGCAGGGACGGAACAAUUCACAGCCAUGAGGGAUUUGUACAUGAAAAAUGGGCAAGGUUUUGUUCUUGUAUACAGUAUCACAUCACAGUCAUCAUACAAUGACUUACAGGAUUUAAGGGAACAAAUUCUAAGAGUUAAAGAUACAGAUGACGUACCUAUGGUUCUUGUCGGAAACAAAUGUGAUUUGGAGGAUGAAAGGGUGGUUGGAAAAGAUCAAGGUGCUCAUUUGGCAAGGCAGUGGAAUAAUUGCUGCUUCUUGGAGACAUCUGCAAAACAAAAAAUCAACGUGAAUGAGAUAUUCUUUGAUCUCGUCAGGCAAAUUAAUUCCAAGAGUCCCGAGCCAAAGAAGAAAAAAAGGAAAAGCAAAGGGGGUUGCGCCAUCUUAUAACUGUUGCGACAUUGCACCCUCAAACCUACUCACUCCACGCCUUUCAUUUAUGUCACCCUUCCCAAAUAUAGAAAAAGACUCCUUUUUAUUAAUAUUCUUGUUAUUAAAAACAUUAAUAAUAUUGAAAUAGAAAAAUUUCAACAAUCCCAUCAUCUAAUAAUGAAUAGAACUUUUUUAAAUUAUUGCAUUAUGUUUUUCUAUCUGAUCAUGCAUGGCACAACACGUGGAUUCUAAUUUCAAACUAAAUAAAAUUUAUAUUUUGAUAUUAGCUGCCAAAAAGUAUUCUUUACAUUUUAUAGUUUCAGUCGACAGAAAUAUAAAAUUGAAACAAAGAAAUUUAAAUGCAAACUGAUUUUCCGGCAGAAAGUACUUUUUUGGCAAAGUAAUAUCUAUAUAUGCAGCAUUAUCAUGAAAAUCUUAUGAAAACUGUAGGGAAAAUUAAUCUUUGUUACAUCGUUUAUAAAUCCUUAUAUUGACAGACUGUAUGAUUUGAUAGAUACCUAUUCAUCAGUGCCAUACCCAUCUAUGUAUUGUUCGUUGACAAUCAUGGACCACAUAGCAACAGCGUACUCCUUCCUUUUGUAGCUUACGCUAUGUAUAAUGAUUUAGCAAAAAAUUUUUUUUGAAAUGCUUGAUUAUUUUAUCAAUCCCCUGAUGUUUUUUCUUCUUAUUAAUAAUGACAAUUGAUGAUAACCUUACUUUUAUUGUUGUUUUCGUUGCGACUAAUUAAAUACCCUAUUUUGCGGGCAUGACUCUGGUUGACGAGAGAAAAGCCACAGGAAAAUGCAAUUUUUGAUCACGAUCCUUCAGAAGUUGUCAGCAAUUUUCUUUGCUCUCGUACAACCAUUGUUAUACUUUUCCUAUUACAAUUCUUGUUGUUGAUAUUCUUAUUAUUACUGUUAUUAUUAUUUUGUGUUUCCCCGCAUAUCGCAUAUCGUACAAAAUUUCAAUAUACAGAACAAGCCAUGGAUAGUUAUGACGAAAAUGAUUAUUUAUGGCCAGUGAUGGUCAUUGAUAAAACCUGUUAAUACAGUACAAUUUUAUCUAUGAUCUACGCAUGGCUGUUAUUGAUCUUUUAGAUUGAAUUAUCCACGGUUUGCAUUUUGCUAGUAGAUCACUAAAUUCUUGUUCUUUUCAUUAUAAUAAUAAUCCUUUUCAUUUUUGCUAGUAUAGGAUUAAAGUAUAUAUAGCAUCCUCUAGCGUUUGUAACUAUCAAAUUGUAGACUAAUAAAACUGUUAUGCUGCAAACUUUUAUCUGAAAUAUUUAAUUUUUCAUGGCACAGACACAAAAGCUCAACACGCCAAUGUGAUAUUUGUAGAAAAAUGUUCAAAAGCAUUUGAAAAGAAAUUUACAUAAUUUAAGUAAAUUCUAUCAAAUUCCAUGAAAUGCUUGGAGUUACGAAAAAAUAUAUACGGUAUAUUUAGAAAUUAUCAUGGUUUUGCUGCAUAAAAUUAUAAUAUUCCAUUCACCAUGGUUUUUACUUCCAUUCACCAUGGUUUUUACAUACUGUUAAUUUGAAUAUUAGUAUGAUAUCUCUUGUUAUAUUUUGUGUAGUCAGAUGUCAAAUGGAUGUUUAUUCAUUUGGGAGGAAAUGGAUGUUUUUUUUAUAUCCUGACCAAAUAUAUGCCAGUAGCUUCUCAAUUGGUGCCUUCAUUAAAAGGCAAUUUGUUUUACUGGGUAUUAGAUGCAUGAUGCACCUAUUAAAAAAUUGGAAAUUUUCCGAAUCUUGAUUUUGUAUAUCUUUUUGGUAUUUUAAUGAUUUAAAUUAUGGAAACCACCUCCUUUAUUCAACACUGGGAAAACGUCAGUUGAUGAUAGUCAUGGAAAAUGUGAAUAUAUUAGUCCACUCACUACCUGUGUCAAAUCUGGUAAAAGAUUCACCUUAUACCAUCAUAACUUGGAGAAGUAAAAAUAGGUUAUUGACAUACAAACCUGUUUGGUGUAUUUAAUGGAAACAUAAAAAGGAAAUGUAUUAAUGUUAUACUAGGUUAUUUAUGGCCAAUCGGUAAAUUUUUAUUUUGUCUUUUUAGUGUUAAAAAAUAUUGUAAAAUUUGCAUAAAUUUCAAUAACAAUCUAUGUAAUGGAAUUAUUGGAUAUUUUUGUGUUGGUAAUCUUGACUUUUCAUGUUGCCAGUAUUUUUUAUGAUUUGUAUCAUAAAUAUCAAAUAUGAAAAGUUGACCACUAAUGAAUUGCAUCACAUUAGCUAGUUGCCCUUUCUAAUAUUUGUAUGUUAAAACAAGUCAAGUUUUGUCAAAAAUCCAUGCUUUCUAUAUAAUUUGUUAUCUUUUCCAUCAUGAGUGGACAAUAUUAAGGUAUAAAAGCUCCUACACAAGGUCCAACAGAAUUUGUAGCUGAUAAAGCAUGCUGGAUAAUGGCAAAUAUGGAGUGAAUAAAACCCGUUUUGGCUAACUAAUGUUUAUUGAGCUUUGACAGUACUGCUGAAAACAUUGUAGCAUUAUUUCUUAUUUUGUGGGCUCGAUCCAGCCUAAUAUUGGUUGAUGCGGUUUUGUUAUUCCUGUGUAUUAAUCAAUUAAUGAAUCAGUAAUUAUUAUUAAUUUUCGUCAUCAUCGGUGAAUGAAUGCAUUUUUUUCGUUGCCAGCAAUUAUUUAAUUGGAAUGUCGCCCGCUGAUGAAUAAAAUAAAAUUAUGCGUUAUUUUGA